UACGUAGGGGGCAAGCGUUGUCCGGAAUUAUUGGGCGUAAAGAGCGUGUAGGCGGUCCGGUAAGUCGGCUGUGAAAGUCCAGGGCUCAACCCUGGGAUGCCGGUCGAUACUGCCGGACUAGAGUUCGGAAGAGGCGAGUGGAAUUCCCGGUGUAGCGGUGAAAUGCGCAGAUAUCGGGAGGAACACCUAUGGCGAAGGCAGCUCGCUGGGACGUUACUGACGCUGAGACGCGAAAGCUAGGGGAGCGAACGGG
rnacentral:rRNA from 1 species